rnacentral:rRNA from 1 species
AUUGAACGCUGGCGGCAGGCUUAACACAUGCAAGUCGAGCGGGGACUUCGGUCCUAGCGGCGAACGGGUGAGGAAUGCUUGGGAAUCUGCCCAGUAGCGGGGGAUAACGUUUCAAAAGGAACGCUAAUACCGCAUACGCCCUACGGGGGAAAGGGGGGGAUCUUCGGACCUCUCACUAUUGGAUGAGCCCAAGUCGGAUUAGCCAGUUGGUGGGGUAAAGGCCUACCAAGGCGACGAUCCGUAGCUGGUCUGAGAGGAUGAUCAGCCACACUGGAACUGAGACACGGUCCAGACUCCUACGGGAGGCAGCAGUGGGGAAUAUUGGACAAUGGGCGAAAGCCUGAUCCAGCCAUGCCGCGUGUGUGAAGAAGGCCUUCGGGUUGUAAAGCACUUUAAGCGAGGAGGAAUGGCUCUGGGUUAAUACCCUUGAGCAGUGACGUUACUCGCAGAAUAAGCACCGGCUAACUCUGUGCCAGCAGCCGCCGUAACAC